AUACGGAGGGUGCAAGCGUUAAUCGGAAUUACUGGGCGUAAAGGGCGCGUAGGCGGUCUAUCAAGUCAGGUGUGAAAUCCCACGGCUCAACCGUGGAGGUGCAUCUGAAACUGAUAGACUUGAGUAUGGGAGAGGAAAGUGGAAUUCCCGGUGUAGAGGUGAAAUUCGUAGAUAUCGGGAGGAACACCAGUGGCGAAGGCGACUUUCUGGACCAAUACUGACGCUGAGGCGUGAAAGCGUGGGGAGCAAACAGGAUUAGAAACCCUAGUAGUCC
rnacentral:rRNA from 1 species